rnacentral:lncRNA from 1 species
UAAUUUCUCUGAACUGUUUUUUCCUCCUAAAAUUUUCUAGGGGCUGCAUGUGUGCUUCUCGUCCCUUACAAGAGGAGGGGAAGCAGCCCGCUGAGGGCGAUGGAAACAAGUGCUUUGCCUAGUGUGGGGAAACGGUGAUGUUAAAGCCCGGGGCUGAUGUGCCUGCUUUAGCCUCUGAGAGCCUGAACAAAUGGAGCUUGCUUGGCCACGCGGGAAAGUGGGGUCUGCAAGAAGAUUCAAGCUUUACAAUUUAUGUCCCAGGGAAACGUGAAGCRAUCCCGAGGAUCAGAUCGAUAAUUUCAGCCCAUCAGAAGAAGGAAGAUACCUUGUUUCAGAGUAUGCUCCCUCAGUGAACCCGCUGCCCGUGGAGUGUAACAGGCUGAAGAUGCUGCCGCGCCUGCCCGGCCUCUACUUGUGAAUGGGACUCGCCCCGCGCCGGCUCCGCAGGCGGCCGAGGGCAGCAGCCGCCCGCCCGGGCGCCAGGUGAGGGGCGCCGCGGCCGCGCCGAGCCCCUGCGAGCCGCGGGGUGGGGCAGGGGCAGGGGCAGGGGC